rnacentral:rRNA from 1 species
AGUCACUGACAUUAGAUACCCUGUAGUCCCAGCUGUAAACAAUGUGCGUUAGGUGUGUCGGUAACCACGCGUUACUGAUGCGCCGAAGAGAAAUCGUGAAACGCACCACCUGGGAAGUACGGUCGCAAGGCUGAAACUUAAAGGAAUUGGCGGGGAGCACCACAACAGGUGGAGCCUGCGGUUUAAUUGGAUUCAACGCCGGACAUCUCACCGGAUAAGACAGCUGAAUGAUUGUCAAUCUGAAGGUUUUACAUGACUAGCUG